rnacentral:rRNA from 1 species
UGAAUAUGGGGGGACCAUCCUCCAAGGCUAAAUACUCCUGACUGACCGAUAGUGAACCAGUACCGUGAGGGAAAGGCGAAAAGAACCCCGGCGAGGGGAGUGAAAAAGAACCUGAAACCGUGUACGUACAAGCAGUGGGAGCACAGAGCAAUCUGUGUGACUGCGUACCUUUUGUAUAAUGGGUCAGCGACUUAUAUUCUGUAGCAAGGUUAACCGAAUAGGGGAGCCGAAGGGAAACCGAGUCUUAACUGGGCGUUAAGUUGCAGGGUAUAGACCCGAAACCCGGUGAUCUAGCCAUGGGCAGGUUGAAGGUUGGGUAACACUAACUGGAGGACCGAACCGACUAAUGUUGAAAAAUUAGCGGAUGACUUGUGGCUGGGGGUGAAAGGCCAAUCAAACCGGGAGAUAGCUGGUUCUCCCCGAAAGCUAUUUAGGUAGCGCCUCGUGAAUUCAUCUCCGGGGGUAGAGCACUGUUUCGGCAAGGGGGUCAUCCCGACUUACCAACCCGAUGCAAACUGCGAAUACCGGAGAAUGUUAUCACGGGAGACACACGGCGGGUGCUAACGUCCGUCGUGAAGAGGGAAACAACCCAGACCGCCAGCUAAGGUCCCAAAGUCAUGGUUAAGUGGGAAACGAUGUGGGAAGGCCCAGACAGCCAGGAUGUUGGCUUAGAAGCAGCCAUCAUUUAAAGAAAGCGUAAUAGCUCACUGGUCGAGUCGGCCUGCGCGGAAGAUGUAACGGGGCUAAACCAUGCACCGAAGCUGCGGCAGCGACGCUUAUGCGUUGUUGGGUAGGGGAGCGUUCUGUAAGCCUGCGAAGGUGUGCUGUGAGGCAUGCUGGAGGUAUCAGAAGUGCGAAUGCUGACAUAAGUAACGAUAAAGCGGGUGAAAAGCCCGCUCGCCGGAAGACCAAGGGUUCCUGUCCAACGUUAAUCGGGGCAGGGUGAGUCGACCCCUAAGGCGAGGCCGAAAGGCGUAGUCGAUGGGAAACAGGUUAAUAUUCCUGUACUUGGUGUUACUGCGAAGGGGGGACGGAGAAGGCUAUGUUGGCCGGGCGACGGUUGUCCCGGUUUAAGCGUGUAGGCUGGUUUUCCAGGCAAAUCCGGAAA